GGAGCUGUGGCAUAGUGGGUAAAGCUUCUGCCUGCAGUGCUGGCAUCCCACAUGGGUGCCAGUUCAAGUCCUGGCUGCUCCA
rnacentral:tRNA from 1 species